rnacentral:rRNA from 1 species
GCACAACGCGAAGAACCUUACCAACCCUUGACAUGGAGGGGACCGUUCCAGAGAUGGUUCUUUCACUUCGGUGACCCCUCACACAGGUGCUGCAUGGCUGUCGUCAGCUCGUGUCGUGAGAUGUUCGGUUAAGUCCGGCAACGAGCGCAACCCACACUUUCAGUUGCCAGCAUUCAGUUGGGCACUCUGAAAGAACUGCCGGUGAUAAGCCGGAGGAAGGUGUGGAUGACGUCAAGUCCUCAUGGCCCUUACGGGUUGGGCUACACACGUGCUACAAUGGCAGUGACAAUGGGCUAAUCCCAAAAAGCUGUCUCAGUUCGGAUUGGGGUCUGCAACUCGACCCCAUGAAGUCGGAAUCACUAGUAAUCGCGUAACAGCAUGACGCGGUGAAUACGUUCCCGGGUCUUGUACACACCG